CUGGCCAUGAUUUGCAGCAGGU
rnacentral:miRNA from 1 species